rnacentral:rRNA from 1 species
AACGAACGCUGGCGGCGUGCUUAACACAUGCAAGUCGAACGGAAAGGCCCUGCUUUUGGGCGGUGGUCUGGGGGCGGCCGGGGGAGUAACACGUGAGUAACCUGCCCUUGACUUUGGGAUAACUUCAGGCAACUGGGUCUAAUACGGGAUAGGAGCUCCUGCUUCAGGGUGGGGGUUGGAAAGUUUCGGUGGUUGGGGAUGGACUCGCGGCUUAUCAGCUUGUUGGGUGGGUAGUGGCUUACCAAGGCUUUGCCGGGUAGCCGUCCUGAGAGGGUGACCUGCCACGUUGGGACUGAGAUACGGCCCGGCCUCCAAUGCGAGGCAGCGGUGGGGAAUAUUGCACAAUGGGAGGAAGCCAGAUGCAGCAAAGCCGCGUGCCGGAUGAGGGGAAUCCGGUUGUAAACCGCUUUCGUCUGUGCCGAAGUGUGAGUGACGGUACUGGGUAAAGAAGCUCCGGCUAACUACGUG